GACUCCAACUGCAGGAAGACUUCAUCCGGACUCCUACGGGAGCCAGGCCUCAUCUCCGACUCCAACUGCAGGAAGACUUCAUCCGGACUCCUACGGAAGUCGGGCUUCGUUCCCGACUCCAACUGCAGGAAGACUUCAUCCGGACUCCUACGAGAGCCGGACUUCGUCCCCGACUCCAACUGCAGGAAGACUUCACCCGGACUCCUACGGGAGCCGGACUUUGUCCCCGACUCCAACUGCAGGAAGACUUCAUCCAGACUCCUAUGGGAGCCGGACUUCUUCCCCGAACUCCUGUUGCAGGUAGAUCUCAUCCAAACUCCUACCAAGGCCGGACUCCGAACUUCUACCGCAAGCGGUCUACUUCAAAUUUCUACUAUGAGUGGCCCGCACCGGAUUUUUACUGUAAGCCUUCACUCGAGCUCCCAUUGCGGAUGCAUUCCUUCCGGAUCUCCAUUGCAGGCAGGCGUCGACCGAGUUUCCUCGACAAAUGAUCCCCAUCCGAGCUUCUACGGAGAUCGGACUCCGACCGAACUCCUAUAGUGGAUAGAC
rnacentral:lncRNA from 1 species